rnacentral:tRNA from 1 species
UGGGUUGCCCGGGACUCGAACCUGGAACUAGUCGGUUAAAAGCGGAGUACUCUACCGUUGAGUUAGCAACCC